AGCUGGGAGAGGGCUUGCUUGACUGAUCCACUCAACCUGGGCAGAGAAGGGGGAAGAAAGCAGAGAUGUCGGGGUCUGCUCCCAUGAAGCUUGGAGGUGAGGGCCGUGGCCACCACACCUGAGAUACCUACUAAGCCUGUGCUCUGUGCCAAGUCCUGUGCCAAUUUAACAGGGAACUCCAUGGCGGCAAAGUCGGCGUUGCCCACGCCCACGAUGAUGAUGGACAUGGGCAGCUUGGAAGCCUGCACCACGGCGUGCCGCGUCUCCUCCAUGUCACUGAUGACGCCA